rnacentral:tRNA from 2 species
GCCGAAGUGGCGGAAUUGGUAGACGCGCUGCGUUCAGGGCGCAGUGAGCGUUCGCUCAUCGGGGUUCGAGUCCCCGCUUCGGCACCA